rnacentral:rRNA from 1 species
AUUGAACGCUGGCGGCAGGCCUAACACAUGCAAGUCGAGCGGAUGAAGGGAGCUUGCUCCUGGAUUCAGCGGCGGACGGGUGAGUAAUGCCUAGGAAUCUGCCUGGUAGUGUGGGAUAACGUCCGGAAACGGGCGCUAAUACCGCAUACGUCCUGAGGGAGAAAGUGGGGGAUCUUCGGACCUCACGCCAUCAGAUGAGCCUAGGUCGGAUUAGCUAGUUGGUGGGGUAAAGGCCUACCAAGGCGACGAUCCGUAACUGGUCUGAGAGGAUGAUCAGUCACACUGGAACUGAGACACGGUCCAGACUCCUACGGGAGGCAGCAGUGGGGAAUAUUGGACAAUGGGCGAAAGCCUGAUCCAGCCAUGCCGCGUGUGUGAAGAAGGUCUUCGGAUUGUAAAGCACUUUAAGUUGGGAGGAAGGGCAGUAAGUUAAUACCUUGCUGUUUUGACGUUACCAACAGAAUAAGCACCGGCUAACUUCGUG